ACUCCUACGGGAGGCAGCAGUAGGGAAUAUUGGGCAAUGGUCGGAAGACUGACCCAGCCAUGCCGCGUGCAGGAAGACGGCCUAUUGGUUGUAAACUGCUUUUAUCUGGGAAGAAAAGGGCCAUGCGUGGCAAAUUGCCGGUACCAGAUGAAUAAGCACCGGCUAACUCCGUGCCAGCAGCCGCGGUAAUACGGAGGGUGCAAGCGUUGUCCGGAUUUAUUGGGGUUUAAAGGGUGCGUAGGCGGCUGAUUAAGUCAGCGGUGAAAGACUCCGGCUCAACCGGAGCAGUGCCGUUGAUACUGGUUAGCUUGAGUGCUGCAGGGGUACAUGGAAUUGAUGGUGUAGCGGUGAAAUGCAUAGAUACCAUCAGGAACACCGAUAGCGAAGGCAUUGUACUGGGCAGCAACUGACGCUGAGGCACGAAAGCGUGGGGAUCGAACAGGAUUAGAUACCCUGGUAGGAAAGCG
rnacentral:rRNA from 1 species